rnacentral:RNase_P_RNA from 1 species
GGGGAGGUCCAGAUGGUCGCGGCGUCGGGAAACCGGCGUCGAGGAAAGUCCGAGCUCCACAGGGCAGGGUGCUGGCUAACGGCCAGUCGCGGCAACGCGAAGGAAAGUGCCACAGAAAACAGCCCGCCCGGGCUUGCCUGGGUAAGGGUGAAACGGUGAGGUAAGAGCUCACCAGCGGCGUCGGUGACGGCGUCGGCUCGGUAAACCCCACUCGGAGCAAGACCAAAUAGGGGAAGAGAGGCGGCCCGUCUCACUUGGAUUCCCGGGUAGGUUGCACGAGGUUCGGAGCAAUCCGGAUCCCAGAGAAAUGACCAUCCGGGCCUUCGGGCCCGAACAGAACUCGGCUUACGGACCUCCUCUCUC